rnacentral:rRNA from 1 species
UACGUAGGGACCGAGCGUUGUCCGGAAUCAUUGGGCGUAAAGCGCGCGUAGGCGGCUCGGAAAGUCGGUCGUGAAAUGCCGGGGCUCAACCCCGGGACUGCGUCCGAUACUCUCGAGCUGGAGGCAGGUAGGGGAGAUCGGAAUUCCUGGUGUAGCGGUGAAAUGCGCAGAUAUCAGGAGGAACACCGGUGGCGAAGGCGGAUCUCUGGGCCUUGCCUGACGCUGAGGCGCGAAAAGCUAGGGGAGCGAACAGG